rnacentral:rRNA from 1 species
CCCUUAGAUGUUCUGGGCCGCACGCGCGCUACACUGAUACGUUCAGCGAGUAUAUAACCUUGAUUGGAAAAUCUGGGUAAUCUUUUGAAUGCGUAUCGUGCUAGGGAUAGAUUAUUGCAAUUAUUAAUCUUGAACGAGGAAUUCCUAGUAAACGCAAGUCAUCAGCUUGCAUUGAUUACGUCCCUGCCCUUUGUACACACCGCCUGUCGCACAAACCGAUUGAAUGGUUCGGUGAAAAUUUUGGACAUCGAGAGUGGUGAUUAAUUUCGCUGCUCUUAAAUGGAAAGAAUUUAAACCUAAUUAUUUAGAGGAUUGUGAAGUCAUAACA